UCCAACAGGCCGAGCGGUCUAAGGCGCCACGUUAAGGUGUCACACCCUUAAUCCAAUUCCGUGGUCCGAAAGGGCACGAGUUCGAAUCUCGUUCUUGUCA
rnacentral:tRNA from 1 species